UAAGGCCAUGCGAGUCGACGAGUUUAGGCUCGUGGCGUACGGCUCAGUAACACGUGGAUAACCUACCCUUAGGACUGGGAUAACCCUGGGAAACUGGGGAUAAUACUAGAUAGGCAAGCUUUCCUGGAAUGGUUUUUUGUUUAAAUGUUUUUUCGCCUAAGGAUGGGUCUGCGGCCGAUUAGGUAGUUGGUUAGGUAAUGGCUUACCAAGCCGUUGAUCGGUACGGGUUGUGAGAGCAAGAGCCCGGAGAUGGAACCUGAGACAAGGUUCCAGGCCCUACGGGGUGCAGCAGGCGCGAAACCUCCGCAAUGUGAGAAAUCGCGACGGGGGGAUCCCAAGUGCCAUUCUUAACGGGAUGGCUUUUCAUUAGUGUAAAAAGCUUUUGGAAUAAGAGCCGGGCAAGACCGGUGCCAGCCGCCGCGGUAACACCGGCAGCUCUAGUGGUAGCAAUUUUUAUUGGGCCUAAAGCGUCCGUAGCCGGUUUAAUAAGUCUCUGGUGAAAUCCUGUAGCUUAACUGUGGGAAUUGCUGGAGAUACUAUUAGACUUGAGACCGGGAGAGGUUAGAGGUACUCCCAGGGUAGAGGUGAAAUUCUGUAAUCCUGGGAGGACCGCCUGUUGCGAAGGCGUCUAACUGGAACGGUUCUGACGGUGAGGGACGAAAGUUAGGGGCGCGAACCGGAUUAGAUACCCGGGUAGUCCUAACUGUAAACGAUGCGGACUUGGUGUUGGGGUGGCUUUGAGCUGCUCCAGUGCCGAAGGGAAGCUGUUAAGUCCGCCGCCUGGGAAGUACGGUCGCAAGACUGAAACUUAAAGGAAUUGGCGGGGGAGCACCACAACGCGUGGAGCCUGCGGUUUAAUUGGAUUCAACGCCGGACAUCUCACCAGAGGCGACAGCUGUAUGAUAGCCAGGUUGAUGACUUUGCUUGACUAGCUGAGAGGAGGUGGCAUGGCC
rnacentral:rRNA from 1 species